rnacentral:rRNA from 1 species
UACGUAGGGGGCAAGCGUUGUCCGGAUUUAUUGGGCGUAAAGAGCGUGUAGGCGGCUGGGUAGGUCCGUUGUGAAAACUCGAGGCUCAACCUCGAGACGCCGAUGGAAACCCUCCAGCUAGAGUCCGGAAGAGGAGAGUGGAAUUCCUGGUGUAGCGGUGAAAUGCGUAGAUAUCGAGAGGAACACCUGCGGCGAAGGCGGGUUGCUGGGCUGACACUGACGCUGAAACGCGAAAGCUAGGGGAGCGAACGGG